AGUCAUUUGAUAAUCUACAUGAAUACCAAAAGAAUCACACAGAAAGAAUCGUUUAAAGCGUAUUUGGCGUUGUUAUUUUUGAUUCUCGGUUUUGAUAGAAUCUCAUCUAUCUCUUUUCUUGAGUAAGUUGAAAUCUUCUUCUUGAGAGACGUUUUAUAUGUCGGCAUUCUAUUUAGUUUGAAUUAUUAUAUGAGCUUCGUAGGUUCUUUCACUUAUAUCCCCUGUCGCUACAGUCUGUGUAAUUCCUUAAAUUAUUUAUGGAACAGUACAUAUACAUGCUUUGAAUAUGACUCUCUCUCUCUCUCCG
rnacentral:lncRNA from 1 species